rnacentral:rRNA from 1 species
UACGUAGGGUGCGAGCGUUGUCCGGAUUUAUUGGGCGUAAAGAGCGUGUAGGCGGCCAAGUAGGUCCGGUGUGAAAACUCGAGGCUUAACCUCGAGAUGUCAUCGGAAACCAUUUGGCUAGAGUCCGGAAGAGGAAAGUGGAAUUCCUGGUGUAGCGGUGAAAUGCGCAGAUAUCAGGAAGAACACCGGUGGCGAAGGCGGCUCUCUGGGCCUUACCUGACGCUGAGGAGCGAAAGCUAGGGGAGCAAACGGG